GAUGAACGCUGGCGGCGUGCCUAAUACAUGCCAGUCGAGCGAACAGACGAGGAGCUUGCUCCUCUGAUGUUAGCGGCGGACGGGUGAGUAACACGUGGAUAACCUACCUAUAAGACUGGGAUAACUUCGGGAAACCGGAGCUAAUACCGGAUAACAUGUUGAACCGCAUGGUUCAACAGUGAAAGACGGUCUUGCUGUCACUUAUAGAUGGAUCCGCGCCGCAUUAGCUAGUUGGUAAGGUAACGGCUUACCAAGGCAACGAUGCGUAGCCGACCUGAGAGGGUGAUCGGCCACACUGGAACUGAGACACGGUCCAGACUCCUACGGGAGGCAGCAGUAGGGAAUCUUCCGCAAUGGGCGAAAGCCUGACGGAGCAACGCCGCGUGAGUGAAGAAGGUCUUCGGAUCGUAAAACUCUGUUAUUAGGGAAGAGCAAAUGUGUAAGUAGCUAUGCACGUCUUGACGGUACCUAAUCAGAAAGCCACGGCUAACUACGUG
rnacentral:rRNA from 1 species